GUAACGUAGGGGGCAAGGCGUUGUCCGGAUUUAUUGGGCGUAAAGAGCUCGUAGGCGGUUCCGUAAGUCGGGUGUGAAAAAAUCUGGGCUCAACCCAGUGGAGCACCCGAUACUGCGGUGACUCGAGUCCGGUAGGGGAGUGUGGAAUUCCUGGUGUAGCGGUGAAAUGCGCAGAUAUCAGGAGGAACACCGACGGCGAAGGCAGCACUCUGGGCCGGUACUGACGCUGAGGAGCGAAAGCAUGGGGAGCGAACAGG
rnacentral:rRNA from 1 species